rnacentral:rRNA from 1 species
AGCAGUAGCCACGGUAAUACGUAGGGUGCGAGCGUUAUCCGGAAUUAUUGGGCGUAAAGGGCUCGCAGGCGGUUUCUUAAGUCUGAUGUGAAAGCCCCCGGCUCAACCGGGGAGGGUCAUUGGAAACUGGGAAACUUGAGUGCAGAAGAGGAGAGUGGAAUUCCACGUGUAGCGGUGAAAUGCGUAGAGAUGUGGAGGAACACCAGUGGCGAAGGCGACUCUCUGGUCUGUAACUGACGCUGAGGAGCGAAAGCGUGGGGAGCGAACAGGAUUAGAUACCCCCGUAGUCCCUGUCUCUUAUAC